AAAAGAUAAACGCAUGCACCGACGCACAGAAUUGACACACGUCCUCACUUCUCUGCAAACGCUCACGCUCCCACAGAGACACACGAAACUCGGGCUGCCUUGGCACGAGAGGCGCGUUGCUCGCGAAGCAAGCCGGCAACACGAAGGGAAAGGAGCAAGAAAGAAGACUAAACAUCCCUUUUCGUUUAACGAUCAGUGCUGCGUUUGCUCCCCCUUCUUUGGUACGUUUUUCUUUUUUGUUAUUUACGCCCGGCUAAGGCUUUCUCGAUCUUUCUUUGAGAACUUCCUUCUUUCUGUGUGUUUUCACCUUGAUAGGACGCGGUUUCUUUUUCCUCUUUACAUUCGUGUGCUUCUUUAUAUCGAUCAAUCUUCACCCCAUUGCCGUGCUGCACGGUUUUGCUACUAUUCACAAUGCAGGAUCAUAUGUUUGCGAAGUCCGGCAUCCCCGCGAACGGUGCGGGGCUCGGACAAAAUUACUACACGCGUGACCUCAUUACCGAAGUUCCGACGAUCAUUGAGAUUGUGCCGGUUUCUUCAGAGGCACUGGCCACGCAGCGCGGUCCGCCAAAAGGAAACUCAGACACGUUCAAGAUCUCCUUGGAUGACGUGGAGCCGACUGCUGGGUGGCUGAGCGAUCGCAACAACGCCUCGCUCGACAUUUGCUUCAUGCACAGCUUCGGCAAGUGCUACGGCAAAAUUCGCGAAAAAGACCCCCGAACUUGUCACCAGAUUCACGUGAAGCGUGAAGUGCUUGACAACCUGCGCAAGUAUUACACAAACCCGCAGCGCAAUUACUUCUGCCGCACCAUGAAAGCAAACGUGACUGAGAAGUUUGCGCAGGUACUGUCACUACUGGCGCGGCGACGAAUUGCCCUGCAAUACCUGGAGUUCCGCACGGAAGACAUUGAGGUGACUGCCGGUAGCACCGAGUACGAGGUACAGUACCGUCUCUGGCUCGUCAGCGACGUCGAGCCGCAGCGCAAGAGCAGGGCCAAAGCGGCGAAUAUUUUGACGGACAACUUCAUCUCCUCCUCCAACCUCUGCUGGGACUUCGCGCUUACCGGACGGUGCUGCAGGGGUGCCUCUUGCCCCGAUCUCCAUGGCCACGUGGCCAAGGCACUUACGAAGGACCGUUUCGUGAAGGCGGCGCUGGCCGAAAUGGGGAAGAAGGAUUCCUUGCUGCCGUCGACGGAGACUACGCAGCCAGGGAAGACACCGAGGGUGUGCCAGCCGUCAGCUAGUGCUCCCCAGCAGUUUCCGCUGCCACCACCUAUGCCACAGCAGUGUGCGCCUUUCAUCGUGUCUUCACCGAGGCCGCCCCCGUACUGCUUUUCGUCUCUUCCACCUGCAUCCGAGAUGUCCGCGUCGUCGCCGAAUCCGACCCUUGCCGCAUUCCCGCUCGACAUGUCGUCUCUGCAAGGAGCGCCGUGCUUCCUUGUGAAUGAAGGCAGCGACGCCGUCUUUCGUCUCAUCACGCACUCACAGUUUGCGUCAUUCGGCAACGAUGCCUCUUAGCGAGAGUGGAGCAGUGUCUUACGGGGCUAACACGAAAAAGAGGCCUGCAGCUGUGAGGUAUUACGCACGAGGCUGCACGAUUUUCUGCAGGACAGUGCCACCUCACCAUAGAUCACUGUGCCACGCACCUUCUCUUCCUUUUUCCUUGUUCUUCCUUUAUCCCUCCGGUCUUUACAAAUUUUUUGAUCUCGCUCUCCUGCUUUUCGUGUAUUGUUCUCUCACUUCACGUCUGUCGUUGUUCUCCCCCUUUUUGUACUGGGUUUCUUUCGCUCGUCAUCAUCAAGAGAGAAGUUUUUCCGUGUAUGUUUGCCAUUUUCGGUGCAUUAUUUUCUUUUUUCACCAGCGCUCUUUUUUUUUUAGCUCGCCAACAGUGCCCUAUGGAUAACUGAGACUAGCAGAUAAAAGGGGAAAAAGCAACAAUGACAGAGCAAGUGACCGCAGCUUCUUCCCCCCAUGGGAAGCGUGUCGCGCAUCUUCUAUUUCGCCACCUAUUGCUAUUUCUCUUUUUCACUGCUUCUUGCGCCUCCAUGUCUCUCAUCUCCCUCGUUCUCUCUCUGCGAGUCGGAGUUGAGCCUGUUGCUGACUCUUUCUUUGUGUGUGUGUGCGUGUGUGUCUGUGCUUUUUUUUCUCUAUGUUUUCACGAGACGAACGCGUUCUGCAGACAGGGAAAGUCCUACCACUUUGUGUUUUUCUAUACUGUGAUUGGGCUAUCACACAGCGUGCCAGCUUGCGUCUUGCAUGUGCAUCUCUCACGAUUAAGCACUGAUUCGCCCAUAAGUCGGCACCUCCGAAGAGGCUCGGCAGAAUACAAACAAACACAUCUUUUUUUUUCAACUCCCUUCUCUUAUCGUUGAUCUAACGCGUGGAAGAAAUAAUUGCUGAUGCGAUACCACCACGGUAUAUGAAAGAUGGUGAUCUCUGCACCCGUCUCUUCCGAGCAGUGUUCCCUGUUCGUAUUGCUUUCGCCUUUCAUGUUUAGCGGUUCAUCGCUUCGUCUUGUGCUUUUCUGAACUCUCUUCGGUUUGGUUUUUACUGUUUUCAGCUUCUUUGUUUUUCUUUUCGUCCUGCCUUUUUCGUUUUUUUUCCAGUUUUUUUUUUCUUUGUGAGUGGUAGCCUGUCUCGUGACAAAGGCGCGCAUCGAAAGAAGAAAACAACGCGAUCGCAAACCGUGCAACUUUAUCUUUUCUUUAGCGAUCUUGAUUUUUAUCUGAUUACGUUCAACCUUCUCUGUUCGUAGUUUUUCUCUGUAAAAGGAUACGCACUCACAAGCGCAGAGGGGGAUGCAGAUGUCUCUCUUGCCUUCUCUGUGCGCGCUAUCCAUCCUGUGCGUGUCUCUCUCCUUCUCACCGUUUCCGCGAAUGGUGUACGUCUUUGCCUUUGUUUCUUUUUUUUGUGUUUUUCCCGUUUUGCGUUGUCAAUUUUACUGCCUCCGCUCUCUUUUUUUCGUCGUCCUUCUCCCACUUCUCGCGUAUAUGCAUCUACAACAGAAGUGCCAUUUAUGGUGCGAUGAGUGAACAGACUGCCGGUGCGUUACAUGUGUGGCCCUAAGUGUGCGCGACAGGGAUGAUGUGCGACGUGCGUCGAACAGCCUACGGGACAAAGACUUGUUACCGAUGUAAGUUUCGUCACUGCUGGCCUUGGCCUCAAUUUCUUCUCUCUGUUUUCUCUUGGUUUACGGAUGUGAACUGGAAAGCUUUUGCACCUGUCGAUGGCGUUCAUUCAGUGGACGUGACCUGUGCUCUAGCGGCAUGCAUACUAUCAAAAUCGCCCACGGUCUCAUUUGCACAGGGAUGCACGACACAAAAACAAUCCUCUACAUUAGGCAAAUAAGUAGAUGAUGUGUGUGCUCCGCCGAUCCACACCUCACUGCGUCCCUGCAAGCCGUCCCCGGUGACAUGUGCUAUUAAGAGAAUUAACGAGAGAGAAAGGAGCAACUCUUUUUUUUCGUGAGCUUUCUUUUCCAGCUGGCGUGUGCCAGUAUUUUCUCUUUCAGCGUUCCCCACGGCUCUUUGGCUAACGAACACAUUUGCCUCCCUCUUUCCUCUUUUUUCCCUACUGUAUGCGUGCGUUUUUCCUUAUGGCUGUAUACGUUCACGUUGAUUUACAG
rnacentral:misc_RNA from 1 species